rnacentral:tRNA from 1 species
UUCUUAUAGUGUAGUGAGCACAUGAGGUUUUCAAUCUUUUAGGGCACGUUUAAAUGUUGUGUGCUAAGAA